CGUUAAGAAGCUAUGAACCCAGCACUAGCCUUUUAAGCUAGAGAAAGAGGAUUUUCUCCUCCUUAAUGA
rnacentral:tRNA from 1 species